UGGUACCUACAGAAGAAGUCCCGGCAAACUCUGUGCCAGCAGCCGCGGUAAUACGGAGGGGGCAAGCGUUGUUCGGAAUUAUUGGGCGUAAAGGGCACGUAGGUGGACUAGUAAGUUAAAAGUGAAAUACCAAAGCUUAACUUUGGAGCGGCUUUUAAUACUGCUAGACUAGAGGUCGAAAGAGGAUAGCGGAAUUCCUAGUGUAGAGGUGAAAUUCGUAGAUAUUAGGAGGAACACCAGUGGCGAAGGCGGCUAUCUGGUUCGAUACUGACACUGAGGUGCGAAAGCCGGGUGAGCAAACAGGAUUAGAUGCCCUGGAGUCCCGCUGAUGCGAUGAGUGCUUCUGUGG
rnacentral:rRNA from 1 species